ACUCAGAAGGUUGUCAAGAACUGGUAAGUUUUGUUCGACUCUUUUGGGCAAAUAAAUUAUGUUGUGGCUAAAGAUUUUCUUACAUGGAUUUUGACAUGAGUAUUAUAUAGUGUGGGUUUUAUACUCAUUAGACCAUUAUGUUACAAGAUUUCUGUAGAAUUUCCCAUUGAUUUUGGAAUGUCAAGGAUUGUGGUCAAAACUGUUUUGUUCAGCUAGGUGAUGAAAAGGGUAUGCAUGUACCUACUCGCUGGCAGACAUUUUGCUGUUAUUUUGUGGUUUAUAGCAGUUGCAAAAUUUUUAUAAAUGCAAUUUGGUUAUAGAAGUCUCAGUUUCUUGAGUUUACGUGACUGUUGCACCAUAUGGGAGGCUCAUAAAUGAUAUUUGCAUAUGCCACACUUCCAAUAUAAAAGUUCUUUAAACAACACCAUGGUAACGAAAACUUGUCAUGGUUUAUUUGACUUAUAGCAGCUCUCAUGCUAUAUUUUAUUUUUUCGUUCUAACACAUUAUGGUCAACAAUGCUGUAGUAUUGACCAGAAAAAGGACUUCAACUGCAGGUUGUAUGUUUAAGUGCCAAGUGAAUUGAAAUGUUUUUUUUAUUUUUUCCAUUAGUUAGGUCUUUUAUAUGAUUGAGUGCGUCCAUCUGUAAAGAUCUGGUACAAGUGAUAUCAUGAUUUAUAUUUGCAGGCAGUUGUUCUUGUGUGUGGCUG
rnacentral:misc_RNA from 1 species